rnacentral:rRNA from 1 species
UACGGGGGGGGCAAGCGUUGUUCGGAAUUACUGGGCGUAAAGGGCGCGUAGGCGGCCAUCUAAGUCAGACGUGAAAUCCCUCGGCUCAACCGAGGAACUGCGUCUGAUACUGGAAGGCUUGAAUCCGGGAGAGGGAUGUGGAAUUCCAGGUGUAGCGGUGAAAUGCGUAGAUAUCUGGAGGAACACCGGUGGCGAAGGCGGCAUCCUGGACCAAUACUGACACUGAGGAGCGAAAGCCAGGGGAGCAAACGGG